AACCCGAACAGCUAGCUAAACUUCAUAUCAAACAUCCCCUAUUAAUUAACCAAAAUAAAAAAUUCAAAUAAAAUAAAACAUUUUCCCCCCAAAGUAUGUGAGACAGAAAAG
rnacentral:rRNA from 1 species